GCUGCCUGUCCCUCCGCCGCUCCCUUCCCCCGAGCCGGGGUGCCGCGGUGAGCACCCCGCUCCGCGCCCGCUGGGGAGGCCCGGCCUGAGGCGGGCACCGUCCCCCGGCCCUUCCUCCAGCCCGGGAGCGGCCCGAGGAAAGCCUCUCCUCGGAGGAUGCGGGGAAGGGAAGCGGCCGCGCUCCUGGCCCGGGAUCCAGCCGGCCCCACCUGCAGCAGCGAGGGGCUCUGCCGCCCUGGCCAGGCCUAGGUCAGCCUGCGGGGCUUGUUUCCUUUCGAGUUUUGCCCCGAGCCACGCGUUUUUGUAGACACGGAGCCGAAUAUCGCGAUGGACGCACGGCAGCGUUUGGGUGUGACGGGAUCCCCCCUGAAGCAUCAUCCGCCACCAAGUUAACCUGCCCCUGGCCAGACAUCCUUCCAGAAGCGCCGAGGAGAACUUCCAGAGCGGCAAAAGAGAAGAGAAACAAAGUCCAAAAUGAAGUACGAACCUGUGUCCCGUGUGCCCGCCCGCCAGGCAGGGUGGGUGAGUCCCGGCGAGCCGUCCCGCGGAGCAGCCGGUCCCCUCCUAGUUGCCGCCGGCCGAGGCCGAGCGUCCCGCCGCACGCAUCCUGCGGGCGAGAGAAAGAGGCUGCGAUUUGUAAACUCGCACCAAUCGCGGAGGAUCCGAAGGGAUGUUAAAAGCUGGGAUCUAGUCCUUUUUCUGGAGUGAAGUCAGUCGUGUCCGUGGCUUUUGAUUUUUUUUAUACUCCUCUGUCUGUUGUUGUUGUUGUUGUAGGGUUUUAUUUUUCCCUGUUGCACUCCCCCUCUAGCAAAUAAGAGAUGGUUUUAUACUCUUGUCCACAGGGCGUUAAAGGGGGAAAAGAGAAAAACCACUUUGUCCGAAAUUGCAGGCAAAUAUAAUUUUUACAAGCUCUCAAUUAGCCAUCCCUUGGAUUAGCACCUUCUUACGCCUCCUCGCCAGAAUAAAGCAGCCGUAAUCUUGUUGCUAUUUCCCCCU
rnacentral:lncRNA from 1 species